rnacentral:rRNA from 1 species
CGGUCCGUGCCAACACCACGGACUAAUGACUGUACUCGCAGAAGAAGCACCGGCUAACUACGUGCCAGCAGCCGCGGUAAUACGUAGGGUGCGGGCGUUAAUCGGAAUUACUGGGCGUAAAGCGUGCGCAGGCGGCUCCUUAAGUCAGAUGUGAAAUCCCCGGGCUUAACCUGGGAACUGCGUUUGAAACUGAGGGGCUUGAGUGUGGAAGAGGGGGGUGGAAUUCCAGGUGUAGCAGUGAAAUGCGUAGAGAUCUGGAGGAACACCGAUGGCGAAGGCAGCCCCCUGGGCUAACACUGACGCUCAUGCACGAAAGCGUGGGGAGCAAACAGGAUUAGAUACCCUGGUAGUCCACGCCCUAAACGAUGUCAACUGGUUGUCGGGGAAGCAAUUCCUUGGUAACGAAGCUAACGCGUGAAGUUGACCGCCUGGGGAGUACGGCCGCAAGGUUA